rnacentral:pre_miRNA from 1 species
UAAAUACUCCCUCCGUCUCAAAAUUCUUGUCUUAGAUUUAUCUAGAUAUGAAUGUAUUUAGUCACGUUUUAGUAUUUAGAUACAUCCAUUUCUAGAAAAACAUAAGACAAUAAUUUUAGGACGAAGGGAGUAUAAG